rnacentral:rRNA from 1 species
UACAGAGGGUGCAAGCGUUAAUCGGAAUUACUGGGCGUAAAGGGCUCGUAGGCGGCCAACUAAGUCAGACGUGAAAUCCCUCGGCUUAACCGGGGAACUGCGUCUGAUACUGGUUGGCUUGAGUGCAGGAGAGGAACGCGGAAUUCCAGGUGUAGCGGUGAAAUGCGUAGAUAUCUGGAGGAACACCGGUGGCGAAGGCGGCGUUCUGGACUGCAACUGACACUGAUGAACGAAGGCCAGGGGAGCAAACGGG